GAUUAACGCUGGCGGCGUGCCUAACACAUGCAAGUCGAGCGGCAGCGAGUUUUACACUGACUUCUGGAAGCUUCUAGUUGAAAGAGAAGAUUUAUUCAAGAAUUUUGUGUAAAAUGUCGGCGAGCGGCGGACGGCUGAGUAACGCGUGGGAACGUACCCCAAAGUGAGGGAUAACGCAUCGAAAGGUGUGCUAAUACCGCAUAUGGUCUUCGGAUUAAAGCCUUCGGGCGCUUUGGGAACGGCCUGCGUAAGAUUAGACAGUUGGUGGGGUAAUGGCCUACCAAGUCGACGAUCUUUAACUGGUUUGAGAGGAUGAUCAGUCAGACUGGAACUGAGACACGGUCCAGACUCCUACGGGAGGCAGCAGUGAGGAAUCUUCCACAAUGGGCGAAAGCCUGAUGGAGCAACGCCGCGUGCAGGAUGAAGGCCUUCGGGUUGUAAACUGCUUUUAUAAGUGAGGAUUAUGACAGUAACUUAUGAAUAAGGAUCGGCUAACUACGU
rnacentral:rRNA from 1 species